rnacentral:lncRNA from 1 species
CCGCUCCCGCUCCAGGGGCGGGGGCAGGGGGGUGGGGGUACUGGCAGCACAGCUGGUGGCUCGGGACGUGGCGGAGGCAGGUGCUUGGGGGGUUUAGAAGGGGUAGAAGAAGAGCCGCUGUGAAGGGAGCGGAGGAGAAAGAGGUCGUCCGGAUCGAAGGGGCGGCUCAGGGCGGCUUGGUUGGGAGCCAGCAACUGCGUAGGUGUGUGUGUGUGUAUGAGGAUGCCAUGUCAUGGUGCUUAUUUUUGGCGUCGUUAGACUGAUGUGCGUUACUGCCGACGUUGCGUUCCCACCCAGGUUCGAAUCCGUCCGGGAGCGGCAUCACGUUCGUGUCGGAGUUAUGGCCGCUGCGCCUGCCAGCGCCGCCCAGUGUGCGCCACCUCGCCCCCUGCCACGGCGCCCCCCACCACGUGCUGGCGCUCUGCCGGGACGGAGCAGCAGUCAUGUUGCAGGCGGAGAUGCCCCCACCGCCAUCCGCACCACCGCCAAUGUCAAC